rnacentral:lncRNA from 1 species
AUAAGGAUGAUUCCACAAGUGACAAAGGAGAAAGCAAAGUCUAGACAAGGAGAAAGAAGAUAAAUAGAAAAGAAUGGAAGGAGAACAAGAAAGAAGAACAAAGAGAUGGGGCAAAAGCAAGAUAAGAAGCAAAUACCCACAGGAAUAUGUGAAGAAUCCCAGACCUUCAAUCAAGCAGAAAUUCAUCUAUGCAAGUUAUUCACUGGUUACUGGGUUAUUGGCACAUUCCUUAGGUAGACAAGUCAAAGGAAGAUGAAACAAACCAGGUUACCCAGGAAAGUGAUGAGCUUCAUCUCUGGGGGUGUUUAAGGAACAUUUGAAAGUGGUGCUUAGUGUACUGGGUCUGGCUGGAAUGUUAACUUUCACAGCAGCAGCCCUUACAGUGCCGUACUCUGCACUCGUAGCUGGAA